AAUAUACAAUUAAGAGGAAGAAAGCACUUGUUAGCAUUCUCCUGUAUUUAAUUCAAAAUUUUCCUAAUGAUGUUUGUUUUGGGCCACUCAAGUCCUGGAAUUCUAGGUUGUCCCUGAUUCAGUAGUUUAACAAUCACAGAGAAUAGACUAUGGUGUUUGUUUUGGGCCACUCAAGUCCUUGAAUUCUAGGUUGUCCCUGAUUCAGUAGUUUAACAAUCACAGAGAAUAGCACUUGUUAGCAUUCUCCUGUAUUUAAUUCAAAAUUUUCCUAAUGAUGUUUGUUUUGGGCCACUCAAGUCCUGGAAUUCUAGGUUGUCCCUGAUUCAGUAGUUUAACAAUCACAGAGAAUAGACUAUGGGUAGACUAUCAAAGAGAAAGGAUCUCUCCGGUACUUGGAAGGUUCUAGUAGGAGAGAGAUACACUGUUUUAUUUUUUAAGAAAUUUUUUCCUCUUUAAAAGUCUUCAUUAGUAUCUUUCUACUGGUACCAUGCAAUCCAAGAGCAUUCUUUCUCACGAGAAAAUAUUACCAAAGUAUCCAGAAAUGAUCUGGAUGCAACUGGUGUCCAUGACUCGUAGUUUUGAAAGGUUUACAAAAGGGACUCCAUCAUAUCCUAGGAAUAGUAAACUGUAUCCCAAGAUGUUCAACUGUGGAAAGAGAAAACUAAGCCAUUUUUUAUGUUUGGUUCAGGUUACAGAACUGAAGUUUCCAGACAAUAGUUGAACAUGAUGUCAGGAUAAAGAACAAAAUGACAUGGCAACAAUUUGUUUUAUGCAUAAACCAAGAUCUGUGAUUGUAAGGUUAAAACGGUAUUUAAUUCAUUUCAAUACAUAAGCUGGUCAGUUGGUUCGAGCCCUGUUCAUCACAUUAUACAUGUGAAAUUUGAGUAUGUGUAAGGCCAAAUAAUGGGAAACCAGGAUUAAAAAAAACUCACUACUCAGUUACUUUGCCUUCUACAGUUUUCUUAUUUUGAACUUCAUUUUCUCCAAGAUUAACCUGCUUAAUCUUUUAGGUCUGUCAUUAGUAUGUUUUUUCUUUAUGGCUGCACCCAAGAUGCAAAAUUGCGUUCUCCCCUUAAAUACACUGGGCAAACCAACUUGAGCCAUUAUUUCUGAUGGUUUACUGGUGAUAAGUUACCUCACAUACAAAUAAAUAUAUAAAUCCAUGUUUCUAUAUUAUAGUGACUGUCAGAUGUUACAGUUAGAAUAAAAAAAAACUUGAAAGUUUAUUUGGAUGACUGUAUUUCUCACUUAUAGCAAAAGGAGAAAGUGUGCAUAAGUGCUUUAGUUCUACAGCACCACUGAAU
rnacentral:lncRNA from 1 species